CGUAGGUGACCUGCGGAAGGAUCAUUACCGAGUGAGGGCCCUCUGGGUCCAACCUCCCACCCGUGUUUAUUUUACCUUGUUGCUUCGGCGGGCCCGCCUUAACUGGCCGCCGGGGGGCUUACGCCCCCGGGCCCGCGCCCGCCGAAGACACCCUCGAACUCUGUCUGAAGAUUGAAGUCUGAGUGAAAAUAUAAAUUAUUUAAAACUUUCAACAACGGAUCUCUUGGUUCCGGCAUCGAUGAAGAACGCAGCGAAAUGCGAUACGUAAUGUGAAUUGCAAAUUCAGUGAAUCAUCGAGUCUUUGAACGCACAUUGCGCCCCCUGGUAUUCCGGGGGGCAUGCCUGUCCGAGCGUCAUUGCUGCCCUCAAGCCCGGCUUGUGUGUUGGGCCCCGUCCCCCGAUCUCCGGGGGACGGGCCCGAAAGGCAGCGGCGGCACCGCGUCCGGUCCUCGAGCGUAUGGGGCUUUGUCACCCGCUCUGUAGGCCCGGCCGGCGCUUGCCGAUCAACCCAAAUUUUUAUCCAGGUUGACCUCGGAUCAGGUAGGGAUACCCGCUGAACUUAAGCAUAUCAAA
rnacentral:rRNA from 1 species